GUAGAUGGUAGCACCCGUCUUUCAUUUUUAAUUCAUCCUUCCUAAACGGCUAAACCUAAGCAACCAUGUUCUUCUUUGCCGUUUCUUCUCCGCUGUUCUUCAAUCCUCUCGGAGAUUUUGUAAUUGAUAUAUAACUAAAUAAUGAAGAAAAUGCUCCAGAAAAACGGCGGAUAUCGAAGACCGCUAAUAAGGAUGGACCCCUUCAAGAUAAGAUCCCUAAUCUAAAUCUUGCAUCCGGGGAUAUUGCACAAGCAGAAAGCAUUAAGAGGUGUUAAACUCCUGGUAGAGCCUGGUGAAUCUCAUCUGAAGACCAGGGAUUUGAUAUUUCUUCCACUCCCGCUAGCAUUUCCCUUUCCAGAUAAAAAGCAGGCGGGGCAACUUGUUGCAAUAGAAGAGCUUCUUCCAUCCGCAGGACAACAAGAGGUCUAAUUUAGAGCUUUUCCGUCAAUUAGACGAAUAGGGAUUGUUUGUGUAUUGUGCUGCUUGAAAUAAUAUAGAUGAGAUAGAUGUAUACCAAUAUCAUGUAUAAGAUGUUCCCACUCUGUUGUAUGUGAAAAUUCAAUCCAAUGUGAUCAAAAUCUGUAUACGAAUUAUUGAUGUCAUGUCUUCGUUUUUGA